CCCUUAGAUGUUCUGGGCCGCACGCGCGCUACACUGACAGAGCCAACGAGUUCUUUGCCUUGGCCGGAAGGUCUGGGUAAUCUUGUUAAACUCUGUCGUGCUGGGGAUAGAGCAUUGCAAUUAUUGCUCUUCAACGAGGAAUGCCUAGUAAGCGCGCGUCAUCAGCACGCGUUGAUUACGUCCCUGCCCUUUGUACACACCGCCCGUCGCUACUACCGAUUGAAUGGCUCAGUGAGGCCUUCGGACUGGCUCAGGGAGGUUGGCAACGACCACCCCGAGCCGGAAAGUUCGUCAAACUCGGUCAUUUAGAGGAAGUAAAAGUCGUAACA
rnacentral:rRNA from 1 species